CUAAUUUGUCACUUCAAGUUCACAUUGACUACCUUUUAAUACAAUUUGUCGUGACCUUAAAUCCCAACCAAUUUUCCGUUGAUUCGGCCCAAUUCCAUUAUCAAUAAAAGAUCCCAUCAGCAAUGCAAUUUUCCAGCAGCAGAAUAAUGUGUACAACAAUACCAAAUAUCCGACCCAGCCUCGUUUUUCUUUUCUUCUUCUUCCUCAACGCGAAUGAACCCAAAAUCUCGAUCCAAAAAAUCAGGCAGGCCCAAAUCGCAAGCCAGUCCAGCAAAUCGACCCGAAAGUACUGUGUGGUUCCUUUGUUUUCUUCCUCAACGUCCCUAUCUUCGUACAUAUGCAGCAGCAAAGCAGUAUUGCCUUGUCCUCGCCAGUGUGAGAUCGCGCCACAUCGAUGCUUCUAGGACUGAGGACUGAUUAUGACCGCUUGCGUCCUUAUUUGCUUUUAGUCUUUUCCUGGAAAUUUGGCUUUUGGUACAAGAGACAGUUGUCUCCCCGUCCCUUGGGGGAGAAAUUUGAACUGAAAUUGGGUGGGGGUUCCAAUUUUUCCCUUCAUCUUUCCCCCUCAAUUUCGACCUAAUUUCACCUCUAUAUAAAACCUCUCUUCUCAUCCGUAAUGGAGGUUAUGUUUCAGCUGGAAAAAUUCAGUGUUAGGAGAAGUCAGUGGAGAUUUUGAGUCUUAAAUUUUUAAGGAAGAAAAAGUGCUAGUAACGUUAAGAAAAUAUUAGCCAGGAAUUAUAUUUUCGCUCGAGGCUCAAAGUUGUGGAUGGGAGAUCGUGACUCUGCUCGUUCUUGUCUCCUUCGCUGCCCUAGAAGAGAAUAAGUUCCUAAAAGGCGUACAGGUCCCGAAGUGAAGGAGAUCGAAGUGGAGGAAGUCGAAGAGAGUGGUCUAUAGAUGCCUAAAUUUAUUUCUUGAAGUUCUGUAUUUUGUUAUUUUUGGGCUUCAGCCCUUGUGCUUUUUAUUAUUUAUUGUUGUUGUUAGUUUUUAGGACAGGUAACAUUGAAGUGGGCCAAAACCCAAAACAAAAUGGGUCCAAAUACCGGUCUAGGCGGACAGAAAUCGAAUCUGGGCCCAAUUGAACUCUC